rnacentral:rRNA from 1 species
UUCCGGUUGAUCCCGCCGGACCCCACUGCUAUCGGGGUGGGACUAAGACAUGCUAGUCGUGCGCCUCCAAGCCACGGUGGAGGCGCGGCGCACAGCUCAGUAACACGUGGCUAACCUACCCUUGGGACGGGGACAACCCCGGGAAACUGGGGCUAAUCCCCGAUAGGUGAGGACACCUGGAAUGGGUCCUCGCCGAAAGGGCGUCUAGACCAUGCUUCUGGACGCUGCCCAAGGAUGGGGCCGCGGCCGAUCAGGUAGUUGGUGAGGUAACGGCUCACCAAGCCUAUAACCGGUACGGGCCGUGGGAGCGGGAGCCCGGAGAUGGACACUGAGACAAGGGUCCAGGCCCUACGGGGCGCAGCAGUCGCGAAACCUCCGCAAUACGCGAAAGCGUGACGGGGUCACCCCGAGUGCCGUCCGCUGAGGACGGCUUUUCCCCAGUGUAGCCAGCUGGGGGAAUAAGGGGAGGGCAAGUCGGGUGUCAGCCGCCGCGGUAAAACCAGC